AAGUCGUAACAAGGUUUCCGUAGGUGAACCUGCGGAAGGAUCAUUACAUUCAGUAGCCCAGCUACUUGUUUACACCCUUGUUUUUUUGCGUACCUAUCGUUUCCUCGGCGGGCUUGCCUGCCGGUUGGACAACUUUAUAACCUUUUUAAAUCUUCAAUCAGCGUCUGAAUAAUAUACAAUAAUUACAACUUUCAACAACGGAUCUCUUGGUUCUG
rnacentral:misc_RNA from 1 species